rnacentral:rRNA from 1 species
CCUACGGGAGGCAGCAGUGGGGAAUUUUGCACAAUGGGCGAAAGCCUGAUGCAGCGACGCCGCGUGGAGGACGAAGGCCUUCGGGUUGUAAACUCCUUUUGCAGGGGAAGAUAAUGACGGUACCCUGCGAAUAAGCCACGGCUAACUCUGUGCCAGCAGCCGCGGUAAGACAGAGGUGGCAAGCGUUGUUCGGAAUUACUGGGCUUAAAGGGCGCGUAGGCGGUGGAGUAAGUCUGGGGUGGAAUGCGGAAGCUUAACUUUCGGACUGCCCUGGAAACUACUUUACUUGAGUCGGACAGGGGAAGGCGAAAUUCCUGGUGUAGCGGUGAAAUGCGUAGAUAUCAGGAGGAAGGCCUGUGGCGAGGGCGGCCUUCGGGGUCUUGACUGACGCUGAGGCGCGAAAGCGUGGGGAGCAAACAGGAUUAGAUCCCCUUGUAGU